AGAGAGAGAGAGAGAGGGAGAGAGGGAAAAUCACAAACAUGGUGGUGUAGUAGAAAAGAAGGAGAGGGGGCUGGUCAGCAGUUGCUGACGCACACCACCGGUUGGUUCAUUGAAGUUCUCCAUUGAGGAGGUAUCGAUGAGCCCUUUCCUUCGAUUACUCGUUUCAUCGGUUAACAACAAGUAGAGUAGGUUUGGUGGUAAGUCCGACUCGAAAGAGAAAGAAGCAAGAAACAAGAAGCAAGAAGAAGAAGCAGAAGAAGAAGGAAACCUAAGCCACGAGUAUUUGUUGGGUAAGAUUGAAGGAAAGUCGUGUAUGCGUAAUAGCGUUUAGCGUCCUUACGUGUGAAUGCGUAUGUGUGUGAGAGAGAGAGAGAGAUAGAGAGAUAAGGGUAAAAGCUUUUGAGGAUUUGGAAAAGCUCGAACAGCAGCAGCAGCAGAUCUCUCAGCGCAGGCAGGCAGGCAGGCAGGGAAGGGUAGGUGGUAGUUGUCGAGUUCGAGGGAGGGGGUUGUUGCGAACGGUGCGGCUAUAAAAGGGUGGAAUUGGAAGGGAGCAAGAGGGGUAGCGACCACGAGAAACUAGUUCUCGUGGGAUCCGCUGCGCGAGUUUGGCGCGUGGCGAUGCAGUAACGUCCGCGUCGCUCGUUUCGUCUGUGCCGCGACAGUCCUCCCGGAACGAGCUUUUCGUCGUCGCGAAAACAAGUGGUGUGGAGAGAGAGAGAGAGAGAGAGGGGGGGAGAUAGGAAGAUCAAAA
rnacentral:lncRNA from 1 species